rnacentral:rRNA from 1 species
CCGGUAAACGGCGGCCGUAACUAUAACGGUCCUAAGGUAGCGAAAUUCCUUGUCGGGUAAGUUCCGACCUGCACGAAUGGCGUAAUGAUGGCCAGGCUGUCUCCACCCGAGACUCAGUGAAAUUGAACUCGCUGUGAAGAUGCAGUGUACCCGCGGCAAGACGGAAAGACCCCGUGAACCUUUACUAUAGCUUGACACUGAACAUUGAGCCUUGAUGUGUAGGAUAGGUGGGAGGCUUUGAAGUGUGGACGCCAGUCUGCAUGGAGCCGGCCUUGAAAUACCACCCUUUAAUGUUUGAUGUUCUAACGUUGGCCCCUGAUCGGGGUUGCGGACAGUGUCUGGUGGGUAGUUUGACUGGGGCGGUCUCCUCCUAAAGAGUAACGGAGGAGCACGAAGGUUGGCUAAUCCUGGUCGGACAUCAGGAGGUUAGUGCAAUGGCAUAAGCCAGCUUGACUGCGAGCGUGACGGCGCGAGCAGGUGCGAAAGCAGGUCAUAGUGAUCCGGUGGUUCUGAAUGGAAGGGCCAUCGCUCAACGGAUAAAAGGUACUCCGGGGAUAACAGGCUGAUACCGCCCAAGAGUUCAUAUCGACGGCGGUGUUUGGCACCUCGAUGUCGGCUCAUCACAUCCUGGGGCUGAAGUAGGUCCCAAGGGUAUGGCUGUUCGCCAUUUAAAGUGGUACGCGAGCUGGGUUUAGAACGUCGUGAGACAGUUCGGUCCCUAUCUGCCGUGGGCGCUGGAGAACUGAGGGGGGCUGCUCCUAGUACGAGAGGACCGGAGUGGACGCAUCACUGGUGUUCGGGUUGUCAUGCCAAUGGCACUGCCCGGUAGCUAAAUGCGGAAGAGAUAAGUGCUGAAAGCAUCUAAGCACGAAACUUGCCCCGAGAUGAGUUCUCCCUGACUCCUUGAGAGUCCUGAAGGAACGUUGAAGACGACGACGUUGAUAGGCCGGGUGUGUAAGCGCAGCGAUGCGUUGAGCUAACCGGUACUAAUGAACCGUGAGG